AAGUAACAAAAGUUAAUAGAAAAAUGGGGAAAAAAUAGGUAUGUAUUUGCAGAAGUGAGAAAACUCCAAAAGAAUUUAAAAACCCUAGACUGUCUCCAGCUAUUUAUAAGAACCCAAGAGACCCUCCUAACCUCUGCCUCUCUGCAUAGUGUACUUUGGCUCUCAGAAAGUGAAUGACAUGUUUCUUUAGACCGACCCUUCUUGCCAUUUUGACCUCUCCAUUUCCUUCUAAAAAAAGAACAAAAAUCCUGUCCCAAAUCCAUUGAGUAAAAACAUGAGGGGAAGAUCUUCACAAAAGAAAGGAAACUCCGCAGGAAUAAUGGAAGUAGAAAAGGUUGAUAAACUAAAACAAGAGCCUCAUCUCUCUGGUGCCUAUAUUAGAAACCUAGUCAAACAAUUAACUUCUUCACGUACCAAAGAUCCUUUAAAUCCCAAAGACAAUGAUGAGAAUUCAACAAAAAAUGAUGAUAGUUUGUGUAGUGAUACACAACAAUUAUCACAGCCAACACCACCACCACAGCUUAAAAAGAAACAAGUGCGGAGGAGGCUCCACACUAGUAGGCCUUAUCAAGAAAGGCUUCUAAAUAUGGCCGAGGCUCGGCGAGAGAUUGUCACUGCCCUUAAGUUUCAUAGAGCCGCUAUGAAACAACAACAACAAUCUCAUACGGGGCCACAAUCGUUACAGACUUGGCCCCAAGAAACUUCGGGAGAAGAACAAGGGAAGUACUGCCCUUAAGUUUCAUAGAGCAGCUAUGAAACAACAACAACAAUCUCAGAUGGGGCCACAGUCGUUACAGGCUUGGCCCCAAGGAUCUUCAGGAGAAGAACAAGGGAAGCAGA
rnacentral:lncRNA from 1 species